UACAGAGGGGGCAAGCGUUAUUCGGAAUUAUUGGGCGUAAAGGGCGCGUAGGCGGCCUGGCAAGUGGAAGGUGAAAUCCCUCGGCUUAACCGAGGAACUGCCCUCCAAACUGCUUGGCUUGAGUCCGGGAGAGGUGAGUGGAAUUCCCAGUGUAGCGGUGAAAUGCGUAGAUAUUGGGAGGAACACCAGUGGCGAAAGCGGCUCUCUGGGGACCACCUGACGCUGAGGCGCGAAAGCGUGGGGAGCGAACCGG
rnacentral:rRNA from 1 species